UACGUAGGGGGCAAGCGUUGUCCGGAAUCAUUGGGCGUAAAGCGCGUGUAGGCGGCUUGGUAAGUCCGCUCUGAAAGCCCGGGGCUCAACCCCGGGAGGCGGGUGGAUACUGUCAAGCUCGAGUCCGGAAGAGGCGAGUGGAAUUCCUGGUGUAGCGGUGAAAUGCGCAGAUAUCAGGAGGAACACCAAUAGCGAAGGCAGCUCGCUGGGACGUUACUGACACUGAGGCGCGAAAGCGUGGGGAGCGAACAGG
rnacentral:rRNA from 1 species